UAUUGAGCUAUUCAAACUAUUUCAGAGAAUCGAGAACUUUUUCAGUGUCCAUUACUAUUUGAUGAAAUUUGGGAUCCAAAAGACACAAUUUCAUAAAGUUGGUAAAAUCUGUUGGCAUCGUAGACGUGUUUUUAUGAUCUGCAACAAAUAAAAUACAGGGCCAUAUUGGACAAGCUGGUGCAUUCCAGCUGUAGACAGAAAAAAAUACAGGAUUUUCACAUGAUUCGAGGACGAGGGUGGGUGACAAAACAAAUCACAAUGUUACCCUAAAACAAGUUUUAUUAACUUACACUUACAAAGCUAUAAAUUAUAAAUAUUUACAGAGAUUUCAAAAAUAUACUAAAAUAACAUUUGAAUAAUGAAAUUAAUGAACAUACACAAAAGGCAAAUGUUUCAGGCUGGUCAGGUUGUACUGCAAACGAAAUAAAAUGUUUCACUGAAUAAGCAACA